UACAGAGGGGGCAAGCGUUGUUCGGAAUUACUGGGCGUAAAGCGCUCGCAGGUGGUUCGUUGCGUCGUGCGUGAAAGACCCCGGCUCAACUGGGGAGGGUCGUGCGAUACGGGCGAACUGGAGGCCAGUAGGGGGAUGCGGAAUUCCUGGUGUAGCGGUGAAAUGCGCAGAUAUCAGGAGGAACACCGGUGGCGAAGGCGGAUCUCUGGGCCUUACCUGACGCUGAGGCGCGAAAGCUAGGGGAGCAAACAGG
rnacentral:rRNA from 1 species